UACGAAGGGUGCAAGCGUUAAUCGGAAUUACUGGGCGUAAAGCGUGCGCAGGCGGUUCGUUGUGUCGGUGGUGAAAGCCCCGGGCUUAACCUGGGAAUGGCCAUGGAAACUGGCGAACUGGAGUGUGGCAGAGGGGGGUGGAAUUCCGCGUGUAGCAGUGAAAUGCGUAGAGAUCCGGAGGAACACCAGCGGCGAAGGCGGCAUCCUGGACCGGCAUUGACGCUGAGGAGCGAAAGCCAGGGGAGCAAACGGG
rnacentral:rRNA from 1 species